rnacentral:rRNA from 1 species
UACGAAGGACCCGAGCGUUAUCCGGAUUUAUUGGGUUUAAAGGGUGCGUAGGCGGGUUUAUAAGUCAGUGGUGAAAGCCCAUCGCUCAACGAUGGAAUUGCCAUUGAUACUGUAAAUCUUGAGUACAUUUGAGGCGGGCGGAAUGUGUCAUGUAGCGGUGAAAUGCUUAGAUAUGACACAGAACACCGAUUGCGAAGGCAGCUCGCUAAACUGUAACUGACGCUGAGGCACGAAAGCGUGGGGAUCAAACAGG